AUUGAACGCUGGCGGCAGGCUUAACACAUGCAAGUCGAGCGGAAACGAUGAUAGCUUGCUAUCAGGCGUCGAGCGGCGGACGGGUGAGUAAUACUUAGGAAUCUACCUAGUAGUGGGGGAUAGCACGGGGAAACUCGUAUUAAUACCGCAUACGACCUACGAGAGAAAGGGGGCAGUUUACUGCUCUCGCUAUUAGAUGAGCCUAAGUCGGAUUAGCUAGAUGGUGGGGUAAAGGCCUACCAUGGCGACGAUCUGUAGCUGGUCUGAGAGGAUGAUCAGCCACACCGGGACUGAGACACGGCCCGGACUCCUACGGGAGGCAGCAGUGGGGAAUAUUGGACAAUGGGGGAAACCCUGAUCCAGCCAUGCCGCGUGUGUGAAGAAGGCCUUUUGGUUGUAAAGCACUUUAAGCAGUGAAGAAGACUCCGUGGUUAAUACCCACGGACGAUGACAUUAGCUGCAGAAUAAGCACCGGCUAACUCUGUGCCAGCAGCCGCGGUAAUACAGAGGGUGCAAGCGUUAAUCGGAAUUACUGGGCGUAAAGGGAGCGUAGGUGGCUCCAUAAGUCAGAUGUGAAAUCCCCGGGCUUAACCUGGGAACUGCAUCUGAAACUGUAGAGCUAGAGUAUGUGAGAGGAAGGUAGAAUUCCAGGUGUAGCGGUGAAAUGCGUAGAGAUCUGGAGGAAUACCGAUGGCGAAGGCAGCCUUCUGGCAUAAUACUGACACUGAGGCUCGAAAGCGUGGGUAGCAAACAGGAUUAGAUACCCUGGUAGUCCACGCCGUAAACGAUGUCUACUAGUCGUUGGGUCCCUUGAGGACUUAGUGACGCAGCUAACGCAAUAAGUAGACCGCCUGGGGAGUACGGCCGCAAGGUUAAAACUCAAAUGAAUUGACGGGGGCCCGCACAAGCGGUGGAGCAUGUGGUUUAAUUCGAUGCAACGCGAAGAACCUUACCUGGUCUUGACAUAUCUAGAAUCCUGCAGAGAUGCGGGAGUGCCUUCGGGAAUUAGAAUACAGGUGCUGCAUGGCUGUCGUCAGCUCGUGUCGUGAGAUGUUGGGUUAAGUCCCGCAACGAGCGCAACCCUUGUCCUUAGUUACCAGCGGGUUAAGCCGGGAACUCUAAGGAUACUGCCAGUGACAAACUGGAGGAAGGCGGGGACGACGUCAAGUCAUCAUGGCCCUUACGACCAGGGCUACACACGUGCUACAAUGGUAGGUACAGAGGGCAGCUACACAGCGAUGUGAUGCGAAUCUCAAAAAGCCUAUCGUAGUCCAGAUUGGAGUCUGCAACUCGACUCCAUGAAGUAGGAAUCGCUAGUAAUCGCGGAUCAGAAUGCCGCGGUGAAUACGUUCCCGGGCCU
rnacentral:rRNA from 1 species